AAUGUAUUACUGUAUUGUCUCCUUGUCACUGCCCGAUGUGAGUCGAGUGCAGAUGUGAGUUGCGCAUGCAUCACUUUGCGACAAUGACGAGGACGACUUGUGAGUUGUUUGUGAUUGACAGUGAUCCUCGUUUCUC